CUCCGGUGAUGACCUCUCGUUUGUGCCACUGUGUCUGGGCCACUGAUGAUACCCCUUGAUGGAGCUGAGGAUCUGAGGGG